UGACAUGGAAGUGGAUGAGAUGGAUGGAUGUUCGCAAGAUGAAGAAGUUGAGAGUGUGACACAAAAACCUCAACGGCACAUCUGAAGAAGUCACCCAGAAAGAGAGGUUUCAUCACAAUGACUCUUCCGUCUCGUGUUGACUGUGCAGGUCUGCCAGAGCCACUGCAUGAGGAAAACACUAGUUAUAACAUCACAAAUAACUCUGCAUUAUAACUACAUGUAAAUAUGUUUGGUAACACUUU